AGAGUUUGAUCCUGGCUCAGAACGAACGCUGGCGGCAUGCCUAACACAUGCAAGUUGAACGAGAAAGCACCUUCGGGUGUGAGUAGAGUGGCGCACGGGUGAGUAACGCGUGGGAACCUGCCAAGCAGUGGGGAAUAACCUUUGGAAACGAAGGCUAAUACCGCAUACGCCCUUCGGGGGAAAGAUUUAUCGCUGUUUGAUGGUCCCGCGUCCAAUUAGCUAGUUGGUAGGGUAAUGGCCUACCAAGGCGACGAUUGGUAGCUGGUCUGAGAGGAUGAUCAGCCACACUGGGACUGAGACACGGCCCAGACUCCUACGGGAGGCAGCAGUGGGGAAUAUUGGACAAUGGGGGAAACCCUGAUCCAGCAAUGCCGCGUGAGUGAAGAAGGCCCUAGGGUUGUAAAACUCUUUCAGUAGCGAUGAUGAUGACAGUAGCUACAGAAGAAGCACCGGCUAACUUCGUGCCAGCAGCCGCGGUAAUA
rnacentral:rRNA from 1 species